rnacentral:tRNA from 2 species
AGGGCGCUUAGCUCAGUUGGUAGAGCGUCUGCCUUACAAGCAGAAUGUCGGCGGUUCGAU